AGGAACCUGCCUCGGAGUGGGGAAUAACACAACGAAAGCUGUGCUAAUACCGCAUGAUGCAGCUGGGUCGCAUGACUCUGGCUGCCAAAGAUUUAUCGCUCUGAGAUGGCCUCGCGUCUGAUUAGCUGGUUGGCGGGGUAACGGCCCACCAAGGCGACGAUCAGUAGCCGGACUGAGAGGUUGGCCGGCCACAUUGGGACUGAGACACGGCCCAGACUCCUACGGGAGGCAGCAUG
rnacentral:rRNA from 1 species